UACUCCAGAAAUUGAUUGCGGUUGCGACA
rnacentral:sRNA from 1 species